UACGAAGGGUGCAAGCGUUGUUCGGAUUUAUUGGGCGUAAAGCGCGCGCAGGCGGAUUUAUAAGUCAGGUGUGAAAUCUCGAGGCUUAACCUCGAAAUUGCGCCUGAAACUGUUAAUCUAGAAUUCUGGAGAGGGAAGGGGAAUUUCUCAUGUAGGGGUAAAAUCCGUAGAGAUGAGAAGGAACACCGGAGGCGAAGGCGCCUUCCUAGACAGAUAUUGACGCUGAGGCGCGAAAGCGUGGGGAGCAAACAGG
rnacentral:misc_RNA from 1 species